CUGCGGAAGGAUCAUUAUCGAGUUUUGAAUGGGUUGUCUGCUGGCUCGCAAGGGCAUGUGCACGCCUGUCUCAUCCACUCUCAACUUCUGUGCACUUUUCAUAGGCCGGCUUGUGGGUGCGUUCGCGCACUUGUAGGUGUCGGGCUUAUGCUUUACUACAAACGAUUCAGUUUUAGAAUGUCAUACUUUGCUAUAACGCAAUUAUAUACAACUUUCAGCAACGGAUCUCUUGGCUCUCGCAUCGAUGAAGAACGCAGCGAAAUGCGAUAAGUAAUGUGAAUUGCAGAAUUCAGUGAAUCAUCGAAUCUUUGAACGCACCUUGCGCUCCUUGGUAUUCCGAGGAGCAUGCCUGUUUGAGUCUCAUGGAAUUCUCAACCUUCAGCUUUAUUGAUGAAGGCUUGGACUUGGAGGUCGUGCCGGCUCUCGUAGUCGGCUCCUCUGAAAUGCAUUAGUGCGAACGUUACCAGCCGCUUCAGCGUGAUAAUUAUCUGCGUUGCUGUGGAGGGUAUUCUAGUGUUCACGCUUCUAACCGUCUUCGGACAAAUUUCUGAACUCUGAGCUCAAAUCAGGUAGGACUACCCGCUGAACUUAAGCAUAUCAA
rnacentral:rRNA from 1 species